UCUGUGAUAUGAAUUGCAAAUAUUUUUUUGCAGCUUGUCAUUUGUUUUUUGACUUUGCUUAUUGCUAAUUCGUCCUCCUGUAUUUGUUCGUUUGCCCACGUAGAAAUUUUUUAUGGAGUUAAAUUUACCAACUAUUUCUCUUAUGGCUUUUGGGUUUUGUAUCAUGGUUUUAAAGAGGCUUCCCUGUGCUGAUGUCACCAGAGAAUUCUCUUCCGGUUUCCCCCAAUAAAUGUAUCGUUUUACAUUCUGCAUUGAAAUCUUUGAUCCAUUUGAAAUGUAUGCUGGUGUAAGACAUCUGACCCAACUCGCCAGUCUGCUCUUCUGUGGUAUCAUCAUUCACUACCACCCAACCUGAGCCCUUUAAAGAUGUAGAGAUCAUUCUGGAUGCCUGAUUCCAGGAAGGAUGAGGAGAAUUAAUGACACAUGGACCAAACGGUGAACAGCAAUCAGGGUGUUACCUCCCCAUUCCAUCUUUGCUUGAUUUUUUUUAAACUAGACUUCUUCCCAUAAAGCCAUAGGCCAUAAUUAUGUCAUACAAGCACCUGAAUAAAAAUCACUUUAAAGUA